rnacentral:rRNA from 1 species
UACGGGGGGGGCAAGCGUUGUUCGGAAUUACUGGGCGUAAAGGGCUCGUAGGCGGCCAACUAAGUCGGAUGUGAAAUCCCCAGGCUUAACCUGGGAACUGCAUCCGAUACUGGAUGGCUUGAAUCCGGGAGAGGGAUGCGGAAUUCCAGGUGUAGCGGUGAAAUGCGUAGAUAUCAAGAGGAACACCAGUGGCGAAGGCGAGUCCCUGGACGAUACCUGACACUGAGGCACGAAAGCUAGGGGAGCAAACAGG